UGUUCCCUAAUUUCUAAUAAGAACUUUCCCUCUUUUUUUCCUCAAAUUUUCUUUUCUUCCCAGUUUCUAAAAGGAAAACCCUAUCUUUUCUCCCCCAAACCUUUCCUCUUCCCCCAUUUUCUCCGAUUCGCACGCUCCCCUUCUCGGCCAUGACUGCGCGAACAAUCCCUCUGGACGGCCGGUCACCGAACGAUCUCACACCACGGACGUUCCACCAUGCACUUUACAAAAUUUCCUUCUCUAUUACUCCUCAAAUGGCUUCUCGAAUCUCCUUUUUCCCUUGAAUACUGGAGCUAACAUCCCUUCUCUCGGACUUGGAACUUGGCAGGCAACUGACGAUCUUCUGACUAACGCCAUUGUUGUCGCCGUCAAGGAGGAGUUCCACCCUUCGUAUUCAAGUUGUUUGUACAUAACUUGAAUUUUCUAUGCGUUGGACCCAUUUUAUAAGCGUGUGGCAGAUUCAAGGCUUUCUCAAGAUCUUGAAUUUAUUCUUGAUUCCUUAUAUGGGUCUCUAGACAUUAGCUUUCCUGUUCAUGUGCUAGCUAAAGAAGAUUACUUGGAGUUGAAACAAGAAGCAAGUGAACUACAAGAAUAUUCGAAUGCAAAACUAGAUAGAGGUACUCGGUAUCUCAGUGUUCUUGCAGAGAAGACACAUAAGCUAGGGUUAUCGGGUGAUUUCUGUUGACAUCCCACGUGUAUGGAAUCAUCAAGAGUGGAUUCAAACAUUUGAAAGUACUUGAUGCCAUAGAUGUUUAUCGUGUACAUAUUUUGUUUAUGUCAAUCUCAUAAUGUUAUUCUAUUUUCUUUGUCUUUCUUGUGUUUAGUACAUCUUUUUCUCUUUUCUCUUAGUGCAUGCAUAUUUUAUUUUGCAUGAGGGUCAAUUUCUUAGCUGAUAUGUAUCAAUAAAUGAUAUAAUGAGGGUCACUUUCAUAGUUGAUAUGUAUUAAUAAAUGAUAUAAUGAUAUAUGUAUAAAAACAUAAAUGAUGUAAAUAAAUGAUAUGUGUGAGUGCUAAAAGGAAAAGUAGAAACAUAGGGUUUGUUGAUCUUGUUUGGGGCUGAAAUUUUAUUAUUUUCAAAUGUGCAAGAGAUUUGAUUGAAAUAUAUUUUGUACUUAAUGAUCUUUAGUAAAAAUUUAAAAUAUUCCUCUACAUAUUACCAUAUUAAAUAAUCUCUAUCGUUACCUAAUGUUUGGUAUUGCAUUGGUUUUAGAUCCUGAAGCGAGGCUUUUGCAUUUUCUUGGUCAUGCACUUUAUAUUAUCAAGAUAUAAUGUUUGCACUGAUAGAUUUGUUGAUGGAGUUUUUGUUGGAUUAGUAAAAAACUGGAUUACUUGUUAUAUAAUAUCCUUUUCUGCCUCACUUUUCAAUGUUUUGUAUAUUUUUUAUUCUUAAUGUCAUUUUCUAUGUUGUAAUGUAGUCCAUAUUCCUAGGGUGUGCUUCCAUUUCAGCUUCAAUUCGACAAGCGUAUUGCCUCUCAGGUUUUAAUUUUCACUCUUCACCAUUGGCCUCCUACUUAGAGUUGCACAUACAUUAGUAUAUUAUUGUGUGUGAUGGGUUUUUUUUUCCUUCUGCUCUGAAUGUUUGAUGAUUUGCUAAUGCAAGGUUAAAAUUGUCAAGUGGAACCCUGAAAAUGAUUUGCUAGCCAUGGUCAUUGAAAACUCAAAAAUUUUGUUCCACCGUUUCAACUGGCGGAGGUUGUGGACUAUAUCGCUUGAUUGAUACAAGGAUCUUAUACAGUCAACUCGAGUUGGAUGAAGUGCGAAUGGAGCUUGCUGAUUUUUUGGGUGGCCACAUGUGAUUAUGGUGAUAACUAAGUUCUUUUGGGUUAGAUAGAUAAGCUUUGUUGAUAUUGGAUAUAGGUGAGCUAGUUUUGUUGAUACUGGAUAUAGGUGAAAGACAAUUUAUAUAUGUAUGGUUCAUUGAUAUAUAUAUAUGCAAUUUCUUUGAUGGUAAGUUUGAGUUGAU